rnacentral:rRNA from 1 species
AUUGAACGCUGGCGGCAGGCCUAACACAUGCAAGUCGAGCGGAUGAAGGGAGCUUGCUCCUGGAUUCAGCGGCGGACGGGUGAGUAAUGCCUAGGAAUCUGCCUGGUAGUGGGGGAUAACGUCCGGAAACGGGCGCUAAUACCGCAUACGUCCUGAGGGAGAAAGUGGGGGAUCUUCGGACCUCACGCUAUCAGACGAGCCUAGGUCGGAUUAGCUAGUUGGUGGGGUAAAGGCCUACCAAGGCGACGAUCCGUAACUGGUCUGAGAGGAUGAUCAGUCACACUGGAACUGAGACACGGUCCAGACUCCUACGGGAGGCAGCAGUGGGGAAUAUUGGACAAUGGGCGAAAGCCUGAUCCAGCCAUGCCGCGUGUGUGAAGAAGGUCUUCGGAUUGUAAAGCACUUUAAGUUGGGAGGAAGGGCAGUAAGUUAAUACCUUGCUGUUUUGGCGUUACCAACAGAAUAAGCACCGGCUAACUUCGUG